AUCUGUCAGCAGCACUAGCCCGUUCAGCGGCGGCGGCCUCGCGACCAGCGGCAGCAGCGCGGCGCCACGCGGCCAGAGCGCCGCUGCGUUCAGCCGCCAGGGCACGGACCAAACGUUGCAGACAUUUCUGGACGCGAGAGCGCGUGUAGCAGGCGAGUGCGGUGCGGCGGCGUUGAGCGAGGUGUGCGAGGACACGCUGCUGGUGGAGGGCGGCGAGCCGACGGCGUUCCGAUACGCCCUCCUCCUCCAGCGACUGUUGAGAAUAUAACAUUUUUUAAGAUUCCGUAUCAAAUGACAAAGUGAACCUAUUGAUUUCAUUAAAUUCUCCUCUACAUUC